rnacentral:rRNA from 1 species
AGUGAACGCUGGCGGUAGGCCUAACACAUGCAAGUCGAACGGCAGCACAGGAGAGCUUGCUCUCUAGGUGGCGAGUGGCGGACGGGUGAGGAAUACAUCGGAAUCUGCCCAGUCGUGGGGGAUAACGUAGGGAAACUUACGCUAAUACCGCAUACGACCUUCGGGUGAAAGAGGGGGAUCGCAAGACCUCCCGCGAUUGGAUGAGCCGAUGUCGGAUUAGCUAGUUAGCGGGGUAAUGGCCCACCAAGGCGACGAUCCGUAGCUGGUCUGAGAGGAUGAUCAGCCACACUGGAACUGAGACACGGUCCAGACUCCUACGGGAGGCAGCAGUGGGGAAUAUUGGACAAUGGGCGCAAGCCUGAUCCAGCCAUACCGCGUGGGUGAAGAAGGCCUUCGGGUUGUAAAGCCCUUUUGUUGGGAAAGAAAUCUUUCAGGCUAAUACCCUGGGAGGAUGACGGUACCCAAAGAAUAAGCACCGGCUAACUUCGUG